AUAUAUAGAGGUGAUUAGUGUAUAUAUAGAGGUGAUUAGUGUAUAUAUAUAGAGGUGAUUAGUGUAUAUAUAUAGAGGUGAUUAGUGUAUAUAUAGAGGUGUAUAGUGUAUAUAGAGGUGAUUAGUGUAUAUAUAUAGAGGUGAUUAGUGUAUAUAUAGAGGUGAUUAGUGUAUAUAUAUAGAGGUGAUUAGUGUAUAUAUAUAUAGAGGUGAUUAGUGUAUAUAUAUAGAG